rnacentral:rRNA from 1 species
UACGUAGGGUGCGAGCGUUGUCCGGAAUUAUUGGGCGUAAAGGGCUCGUAGGCGGUCUGUCACGUCGGGGAGUGAAAAACUCGGGGCUCAACCCCCGAGCCUGCUUCCGAUACGGGGCAGACUAGAGUGCGGUAGGGGUGACUGGAAUUCCUGGUGAGCGGUGGAAUGCGCAGAUAUCAGGAGGAACACCGAUGGCGAAGGCAGGUCACUGGGCCGGCAACUGACGCUGAGGAGCGAAAGCAUGGGGAGCGAACAGGG